AGUGAACGCUGGCGGUAGGCCUAACACAUGCAAGUCGAACGGCAGCACAGUAAGAGCUUGCUCCUACGGGUGGCGAGUGGCGGACGGGUGAGGAAUACAUCGGAAUCUACUUUUUCGUGGGGGAUAACGUAGGGAAACUUACGCCAAUACCGCAUACGACUUACGGGUGAAAGCAGGGGAUCUUCGGACCUUGCGCGAUUGAAUGAGCCGAUGUCGGAUUAGCUAGUUGGCGGGGUAAAGGCCCACCAAGGCGACGAUCCGUAGCUGGUCUGAUAGGAUGAUCAGCCACACUGGAACUGAGACACGGUCCAGACUCCUACGAGAGGCAGCAGUGGGGAAUAUUGGACAAUGGGCGCAAGCCUGAUCCAGCCAUACCGCGUGGGUGAAAGAGGCCUUCGGGUUGUAAAGCCCUUUUGUUGGGAAAGAAAAGCAGCAGGUUAAUACCCCGCUGUUCUGACGGUACCCAAAGAAUAAGCACCGGCUAACUUCGUG
rnacentral:rRNA from 1 species